rnacentral:rRNA from 1 species
GAUGAACGCUGGCGGCGUGCCUAAUACAUGCAAGUCGAGCGAACAGAUAGGAGCUUGCUCCUUUGAAGUUAGCGGCGGACGGGUGAGUAACACGUGGGUAACCUACCUAUAAGACUGGGAUAACUUCGGGAAACCGGAGCUAAUACCGGAUAACAUUUAGAACCGCAUGGUUCUAAAGUGAAAGAUGGUUUUGCUAUCACUUAUAGAUGGACCCGCGCCGUAUUAGCUAGUUGGUAAGGUAACGGCUUACCAAGGCGACGAUACGUAGCCGACCUGAGAGGGUGAUCGGCCACACUGGAACUGAGACACGGUCCAGACUCCUGCGGGAGGCAGCAGUAGGGAAUCUUCCGCAAUGGGCGAAAGCCUGACGGAGCAACGCCGCGUGAGUGAUGAAGGGUUUCGGCUCGUAAAACUCUGUUAUUAGGGAAGAACAAAUGUGUAAGUAACUGUGCACAUCUUGACGGUACCUAAUCAAAAAGCCACGGCUAACUACGUG